AAAUAUUUACAAUUAUCAUUAAAAAUAAACUUAUUUAAUAAUUAAUUAUUAAAAAUUUUAUUUUUAAAAUAUUUAUAAUUUAAUUUUAAAAGUAUAUAUAAAUAAAUAAAAUAUUUUUAUUAACUUUUAAUUUUAAAAAUUAAUGAAAAUUUAAUUUUAGAAAUUUAUUAAUUAUUAAUAAAAUUUGUGCCAGCAAUUGCGGUUAUACAAAUAAUAAAAUAAAUAUUUUUUUAACUAAUUUUAAAAUUUAUUGAUAAUUAAUUAAAUUUUAAUUAAGUAAAAUCAUUAAAAAUUAAAUAAUUAUAAAAUUACUUAUUUUAAAAAUUAAAUAAAUAAUUAUAUUAAACUAGGAUUAGAUACCCUAUUAUAAAUUUUAAAUUCUAUAAAUAAAAAAAAUUAAUAAUUUAAAAUUUAAAAAUUAAAUAAAUAUGGCUGUAUUUUAAUUUAUUUAAAGGAACUUGUGAUUUAAUUUGAUUUUCCACGAUAGAUGAUACUUUAUUUAUAUAAUUUAUAUAUCGUUGUUAUUAAAUCUUAUUAUAAUACAAAUUUAUAAUAUUAAAUUAAAAAACAUUUCAAAUCAAGAUAUAGUUUAUAAUAAAGGAUUUAAUGAGUUAUAUAAAAAUAUUUAUAGAUUUUAGAUUGAAAUUUUAAAUGAAAUAAGAUUUAAAAGUAAUUUUUAUUACAAAAAAUGAUUUAAUUUUAAAAUAAGUACAUAUUGCCCGUCACUUUCAAUUUUUUGAAAUAAGUCGUAACAAAGUAAGAGUAUUGGAAAAUGUUCUUAGAAUGAC
rnacentral:ncRNA from 1 species